UACGGGGGGGGCAAGCGUUGUUCGGAAUUACUGGGCGUAAAGGGCUCGUAGGCGCCAACUAAGUCAUACGUGAAAUCCCUCGGCUUAACCGGGGAACUGCGUCUGAUACUGGAUGGCUUGAGUUCGGGAGAGGGAUGCGGAAUUCCAGGUGUAGCGGUGAAAUGCGUAGAUAUACGGAGGAAUACCUGAGGCGAAGGCGGGUUGCCUGGGCCAACACUGACGGCUGAGGCGCGAAAGCCAGGGGAGCAAACGGG
rnacentral:rRNA from 1 species